rnacentral:rRNA from 1 species
GGCGGACGGGUGAGUAAUACUUAGGAAUCUGCCCAUUAGUGGGGGACAACAUUCGGAAACGGAUGCUAAUACCGCAUACGCCCUACGGGGGAAAGCGGGGGAUCUUCGGACCCCGCGCUAAUGGAUGAGCCUAAGUCGGAUUAGCUUGUUGGUGAGGUAAUGGCUCACCAAGGCGACGAUCCGUAGCUGGUCUGAGAGGACGAUCAGCCACACUGGAACUGAAACACGGUCCAU